rnacentral:lncRNA from 1 species
UAUUAUUACAAACAUAAGCAUCAUGGAAUUGUGCAGUCAAGUGAGAGUGAAUACAAAGGGACAGUAAAUGUGCCCUUCUGAGACAUGACAGUGCCGCAUUGAAGUUCUGGACUUUGUCUUGGUGCAGUUGGUGGUGUCGACAAUGUUGUUGGAACAAAUAGAAUAAAGAGUUGCAGCA